GCCUUCGUGGUGUAGUGGUCAGCACGCUCACGCGUAUUCGAGAGGUCCAUGGUUCGAGUCCCGGCGAGGGCA
rnacentral:tRNA from 1 species